rnacentral:rRNA from 1 species
ACGUAGGAGGCGAACGUUAUCCGGAUUUACUGGGCGUAAAGCGCGUGUAGGUGGUUCUGUAAGUAGGGCGUGAAAGCUCCUGGCUCAACUGGGAGAGGCCGUUCUAAACUACAGAACUAGAGGGUGGUAGAGGGAGGUGGAAUUCCAGGUGUAGCGGUGGAAUGCGCAGAUAUCUGGAGGAACACCAGUGGCGAAGGCGGCCUCCUGGACCAUUCCUGACACUCAUACGCGAACGAUCGGGUAGUUAUCGG